UUUAUCCACCCAAAUCAAAUCUCCAAAUUGAAAUCCUAAUUACUCUCAUUUCUCUCUCUACCCAACCUCCAUUGAAGAGCAUUGAAGCUUGAAUAAGAAGACCAAUUCUCGAAGUUUUAUACUCAAAUUCAUGGCUAAAGUUUUCAUUAUGGUUAUUGGUUUGGGAUGAAGUCUUGAAUGGGUUUCAUGGAGGCCAUUCGAAAGACAUUCAAAGUCAUGAACUUGUUGUGGUAUAGUUGACUAUCUUUGGUAAUGUUUGUUAAUUGAAGUAUGAAUAAUGAAGUUAUGAGUGGAUGAUCAUGCUAUGACUAUGAUGGUUGUGAGAUGAUGAUAGUUGAGGGGUUAAAGGUAAUUCCUAUGUGCAUCUUAGGAUUAUACUAUGAUGUAAUGUUCUCACAUGAUGUUGGGUUGUGAUGAAAGAACUUUCUCAUCCUAAAACAAUUAGUUAUGAACUUGUUAUAUGAGGGGUUAAACUCCUAUGACCUAUAUUGUGAAUUAAUGUUAACGAAGACUUCAAGAUACUUCAAAAAGGGAAUUGUUGACAUUCAAUUUUGGCCUAACAUUUUCAAAAUUCGUAACUUUUAAACUUUAUUUAUUUAAUAGUUCAAAAUGGAUUUUUACAUUUAAUUAUGAAUAAGUUUAUCGAUAACUAUCUUUAUUUAUUAAAAUUUAGGAUUUUCUAUCAGUUAAUUAUAAAAUUGCAUUUCCACAUGUCAUCAAUUACGUUCAAUACUUUUUUAAUAUUUAUUUUAUUUGUUACAUUUGUUAAUAUAUAUUUUGAAAUUUUAUAUAAUAUAGAAACUUAUUGAAAUAUGCAUAAGAUUUUAUACACAAAUAUUUCAUCGACUAACAAUUUUUGGACCUCAAUCUUGAGUCAAUGGCCUAGGCCCAUUGUAUAACAAUUUCUAUUUAGGAUUUUAUUAAGUCAAAAAUAGCGUGUUGAAUUUAUUUUAGGAUAUUUUCAAAUUUUUAUCCACAAAAUAAUUUCACCAGUCAAAAAAAUUUAGACUGCCACCACCCCGAAAUCCGGCAACCCAAAACCCCAUCAUUUUCUCCUUUUUUUUUUCCGACAAAAUCCAACCGGAAUCAACUCCAAAACCCUCAUAAACGACCUCCCAAACCAACCAGCAGCUCAUCACAAACAAACUCCGUCAUUGUCUCUCCGUUUCCCUCCAAACAACAACCAAAUAACAACCAAACAGCCACCAGAAUACAACCCAAUCCAGCCAAACACACUCCGAAAUCAUCAGGAAAAUAGAACUAAAAACCCACCAGAUCUCCUCUUAAAUCACCACCUCUGCUCACCCUUUAAGCUUUACUCGAGUUAUUCCAUUAAUGGUGAACUCCGAGCUCCCAUCGUCCCAUUUUCCCCUCUCACCCGCUACAAACAAUGGCAACCCUCAAUUCCAUGCGAAUCAGAACCACCACCAUUUCCGACGAACGGAGAAACGACAACAACCACCUCUAAAACCCAAUGUUUUCGUAUUCGAUGCAACCAGUAGCUCCGGCGAGGAGCUCAAAGCUCCGAUGUACCGGAGCUAAAUAACACUAGACCUCUUUCCCUCUUCCCCUUAACGUUUUUUUGACAGGUGAACUACAAUCAGCGAGUUUGUGAACAAACAACGGCAACAACUAGAAGUUCUAAGGAUCAACGACAACCAGCUACAAGCUCCAGCGAAGAAUAAAAAUGACCACAUCCAGUCCUAAUACUCCAUUGAAGUGAGAUUUCACCGGAAAGAUUAGACUUCGGCCAAACAUCAUUUAAAAUGGUGAAAAUAUUUUUAAAUCUAUCAAUAUCAUGUCAUAUCACAAGUUGAAUGAACGAAAUGGGGUAGAUGCAGACGAGUUUGAGGACUACAGUAAGAAGAUCAUUGUACCCAAACAGUGGUUGAUGAAUUCAGACAGUUCAAAAGUCACAAAGAGUCGAAUUCAGAAGAGAUUGGAAUAAUGAAUCAAGAAAAUGAUGAAUGCAUCAAAGAAAUUAAAUUGGUGCCUAUCUGACAAUAGCACACGAGAGAGAUCUCAUCGGUUCGCUUAGCAAUCACAUCAAUACAUUUAUUUGAUGAUAUUAUAAGGUUGAGCAUGAACAUUAGGUCUCACAAGUCAUCAAUUUACUCAAAUGUUGUCGAAAGACAUCAUGUUGGAAAGCUUGAUUUCUAUCAUUUCCUUGUAAUCUCUUUUAUUCAUUUGUAAUAGUUAAGCUUAGAAUUUAUCCAUUUGUAAUGAACUACGUCUAACCUGAAUUCUCAAGAAUGAGAUACGUAGGUGGCCUAUGUUGGCCUCGGUCACCCCUUUUAUCCCUCUUAA